GGAGGAAAAGAACUAACAAGGAUUCCCCUAGUAACUGCGAGUGAAGCGGGAAAAGCUCAAAUUUAAAAUCUGGCGGUCUCUGGCCGUCCGAGUUGUAAUCUAGAGAAGUGCUGCCCGCGCUGGACCGUGUACAAGUCUCCUGGGAUGGAGCGUCAUAGAGGGUGAGAAUCCCGUCUCUGACACGGACUACCAGGGCUUUGUGGUACGCUCUCAAAGAGUCGAGUUGUUUGGGAAUGCAGCUCAAAAUGGGUGGUAAAUUCCAUCUAAAGCUAAAUAUUGGCGAGAGACCGAUAGCGAACAAGUACCGUGAGGGAAAGAUGAAAAGAACUUUGGAAAGAGAGUUAAACAGUACGUGAAAUUGCUGAAAGGGAAACGCUUGAAGUCAGUCACGUUGGCCGGGGAUCAGCCUCACUCUUUUGUGUGGUGUACUUCCUGGUUGACGGGUCAGCAUCAAUUUUGACCGCUGGAAAAAGGCUUGAGGAAUGUGGCAGCUCAGGCUGUGUUAUAGCUUCUUGUCAUAUACAGCGGUUGGGAUUGAGGAACUCAGCACGCCGCAAGGCCGGGUUUCGACCACGUUCGUGCUUAGGAUGCUGGCAUAAUGGCUUUA
rnacentral:rRNA from 2 species